ACCCGCUGAACUUAAGCAUAUCAAUAAGCGGAGGAAAAGAAACCAACAGGGAUUGCCUUAGUAACGGCGAGUGAAGCGGCAACAGCUCAAAUUUGAAAUCUGGCUCUCUUAGGGCCCGAGUUGUAAUUUGCAGAGGGCGCUUUGGUGUCGGCAGCGGUCCAAGUUCCUUGGAACAGGACGUCACAGAGGGUGAGAAUCCCGAACGUGGUCGCUAGCCUUUGCCGUGUAAAGCCCCUUCGACGAGUCGAGUUGUUUGGGAAUGCAGCUCUAAAUGGGAGGUAAAUUUCUUCUAAAGCUAAAUACUAGGCCAGAGACCGAUAGCGCACAAGUAGAGUGAUCGAAAGAUGAAAAGCACUUUGGAAAGAGAGUCAAAUAGCACGUGAAAUUGUUGAAAGGGAAGCGCUUGCAGCCAGACUUGCCUGUAGUAGUUUAUCUAGACUUUUGUCUAGUGCACUCUUCUGCAGGCAGGCCAGCAUCAGUCUAGGCGAUUGGAUAAAGGUCUCUAUCACGUACCUCUCUUUGGGGAGGCCUUAUAGGGGAGACGUCAUGCAACCAGUCUGGACUGAGGUCUGCGCAUCUGCUAGGAUGCUAGCGUAAUAGCUGUAAGCGGCCCGUCUUGAAACACGGACCAAGGAGUCUAACAUCUAUGCGAGUGUUUGGGUGUCAAGCCCAAACGCGUAAUGAAAGUGAACGGAGGUAGGAACCCUUUGGGUGCAC
rnacentral:rRNA from 1 species